UCAUCUCAUCCUGGCUCCUGCGUACCAUCUUUUUGUGUAGGAACUAGGAACUAGGAAUGUUAUUCUAUGGAUGCCCAGUAUAUCAGAUUGCAGUUCUUGGAACUGCAUGAAUCUAAGAUUUGUGGCCCAAGGACGGUGUCGGAUUCGGGUUCUUAUUCUUGGCACUGUUCUGAAACUAGGGGGAUGUGUUUGGUGUUGAUGCCCCCAUCCAAAUUUGGAGAUAAAAAAAAAUGAGGGAAAAGGGGAUGAAUAGCUU
rnacentral:lncRNA from 1 species